GACGAACGCUGGCGGCGUGCUUAACACAUGCCAGUCGAACGCUGAAGCUCAGCUUUUGUUGGGUGGAUGAGUGGCGAACGGGUGAGUAACACGUGAGUAACCUGCCCCCUUCUUUGGGAUAACGCCCGGAAACGGGUGCUAAUACUGGAUAUUCACUGGUCUUCACAUGGGGGUUGGUGGAAAGGGUUUUUCUGGUGGGGGAUGGGCUCGCGGCCUAUCAGCUUGUUGGUGGGGUGAUGGCCUACCAAGGCUUUGACGGGUAGCCGGCCUGAGAGGGUGACCGGUCACAUUGGGACUGAGAUACGGCCCAGACUCCUACGGGAGGCAGCAGUGGGGAAUAUUGCACAAUGGGCGCAAGCCUGAUGCAGCGACGCCGCGUGAGGGAUGGAGGCCUUCGGGUUGUGAACCUCUUUCGCUCAUGGUCAAGCCGCAACAAUGGUUGUGGUGAGGGUAGUGGGUAAAGAAGCGCCGGCUAACUACGUG
rnacentral:rRNA from 1 species